rnacentral:rRNA from 1 species
AGCUUUUGACAUGUCCGGUAUGAUUUCCAGAGAUGGAUUUCUUCAGUUCGGCUGGCCGGAACACAGGUGCUGCAUGGCUGUCGUCAGCUCGUGUCGUGAGAUGUUGGGUUAAGUCCCGCAACGAGCGCAACCCUCGCCCUUAGUUGCCAUCAUUCAGUUGGGCACUCUAAGGGGACUGCCGGUGAUAAGCCGCGAGGAAGGUGGGGAUGACGUCAAGUCCUCAUGGCCCUUA